rnacentral:lncRNA from 1 species
UUACCUUAGUUGUUGGGUUGCUUUUCGUGUUGAUGAGAGAGAUGAUGGAGUUUAAUGGAGGAGGAGCUCGUCGAGUUAGCUAUGGAGGAGGAUGAUUGGGAUUCCGGUGGAGAUCGGGUUUGAAGGAGAGAGAGGAUGAAGAUUUCGAGUGGGGUCCAUGCCCAUUUUUCUUUUUCUUUUUUUUUUUGUUUAAAUUAAAUAAAAUAAUAAGAUGGGUAAAAUAUGACAUUAUUUAAGUCAACAUAUGGUACAAGGGGAGUUAGAAUAUAGAAAGGUAUGAAAGUAUAUAGAUUUUAGUCCAGAGAAUCCCUAUCAAAUGGACUAAAAUCUAUGAUACCCUUUGACUGAUUUUCUUAUUCUUCUAAGGGAUUGACCAAAAGGAAAAAAAUUAAUUUAAUUAAAAAAAAUUGAAAAUUGGUAAAAAUACAAACUCAUCCUCACUAAAGUAAAACAAUUACAGAUUCAACCACCCUAU